rnacentral:rRNA from 1 species
UACGGAGGGUGCAAGCGUUAUCCGGAUUCACUGGGUUUAAAGGGAGCGUAGGCGGGCAGGUAAGUCAGUGGUGAAAUCUUUGGGCUUAACCCGAAAACUGCCAUUGAUACUAUUUGUCUUGAAUAUUGCGGAGGUAAGCAGAAUAUGUCAUGUAGCGGUGAAAUGCUUAGAUAUGACAUAGAAUACCCAUUGCGAAGGCAGCUUACUACACAUAUAUUGACGCUGAGGCUCGAAAGCGUGGGGAUCAAACAGG